GCCUGUGUGGCGUAACGGCUAACGCUGUUGUUUCGGAAGUAUUCGACGCGGGUUCAAUCCCGCCCAAGUCU
rfam:Caenorhabditis brenneri strain PB2801 C_brenneri-6.0.1_Cont200.15, whole genome shotgun sequence.